rnacentral:rRNA from 1 species
CCUACGGGAGGCAGCAGUGGGGAAUAUUGCACAAUGGGCGAAAGCCUGAUGCAGCAACGCCGCGUGAGGGAUGACGGCCUUCGGGUUGUAAACCUCUUUUAGUAGGGAAGAAGCGAAAGUGACGGUACCUGCAGAAAAAGCACCGGCUAACUACGUGCCAGCAGCCGCGGUAAUACGUAGGGUGCAAGCGUUGUCCGGAAUUAUUGGGCGUAAAGAGCUCGUAGGCGGUUUGUCGCGUCUGCUGUGAAAUCCCGAGGCUCAACCUCGGGCUUGCAGUGGGUACGGGCAGACUAGAGUGCGGUAGGGGAGAUUGGAAUUCCUGGUGUAGCGGUGGAAUGCGCAGAUAUCAGGAGGAACACCGAUGGCGAAGGCAGAUCUCUGGGCCGUAACUGACGCUGNAGGAAGCGAAAAGCGUGGGGAAGCGAANCAGGAUUAGAUUACCCNUGGUAAUUCCACGCCGUAAAACGUUGGGCGCUAAGAUGUAAGGGACCCUUUCCCACGGUUUUCUGUGUUCGUAAGCUAAACGCAUUAAAGCGCCCCGCCUGGGGAAGUAACGGCCGCAAAGGCUUAAAANUCAAAAGGAAAUUGACGGGGGGCCCGCACAAAGCGGCGGAGCAUGCGGAUUAAUUUCGAUGCAAACGCGAAAGAAACCUUACCAAAGGCUUGACAUACACCGGAAAACGGCCAGAGAUGGUCGCCCCCUUGUGGUCGGUGUACCAGGUGGUGCAUGGUUGUCGUCAGCUCGUGUCGUGAGAUGUUGGGUUAAAGUCCCGCAACGAGCGCAACCCUCGUUCUAUGUUGCCAGCGCGUUAUGGCGGGGACUCAUAGGAGACUGCCGGGGUCAAACUCGGAGGAAAGGUGGGGAUGACGUCAAAUCAUCAUGCCCCUUAUGUCUUGGGCUUCACGCAUGCUACAAUGGCCGGUACAAAGGGCUGCGAUACCGUAAGGUGGAGCGAAUCCCAAAAAGCCGGUCUCAGUUCGGAUUGAGGUCUGCAACUCGACCUCAUGAAGUUCGGAGUCGCUAGUAAUCGCAGAUUCAGCAACGCUGCGGUGAAUACGUUCCCGGGCCUUGUACACACCG